GCUUCGGCGGGCCCGCCUCACGGCCGCCGGGGGGCAUCCGCCCCCGGGCCCGCGCCCGCCGAAGACACCUGUGAACUCUGUCUGAAGUUGCAGUCUGAGAAACUAUUUAAAUUAGUUAAAACUUUCAACAACGGAUCUCUUGGUUCCGGCAUCGAUGAAGAACGCAGCGAAAUGCGAUAAAUAAUGUGAAUUGCAGAAUUCAGUGAAUCAUCGAGUCUUUGAACGCACAUUGCGCCCUCUGGUAUUCCGGAGGGCAUGCCUGUCCGAGCGUCAUUGCUGCCCUCAAGCACGGCUUGUGUGUUGGGCCCCGUCCCCCCCCUCCCGGGGGGACGGGCCCGAAAGGCAGCGGCGGCACCGCGUCCGGUCCUCGAGCGUAUGGGGCUUUGUCACCCGCUCUUGUAGGCCCGGCCGGCGCUUGCCGACCCCCUCAAUCUAUUUUUCAGGUUGACCUCGGAUCAGGUAGGGAUACCCGCUGAACUUAAGCAUAUCAAUAAGCGGAGGAAAAGAAACCAACCGGGAUUACCCUAGUAACGGCGAGUGAAGCGGUAAGAGCUCAAAUUUGAAAGCUGGCCCCUUCGGGGUCCGCAUUGUAAUUUGCAGAGGAUGCUUCGGGAGCGGUCCCCAUCUAAGUGCCCUGGAACGGGCCGUCAUAGAGGGUGAGAAUCCCGUAUGGGAUGGGGUGCCCGCGCCCGUGUGAAGCUCCUUCGACGAGUCGAGUUGUUUGGGAAUGCAGCUCUAAUUGGGUGGUAAAUUUCAUCUAAAGCUAAAUAUUGGCCGGAGACCGAUAGCGCACAAGUAGAGUGAUCGAAAGAUGAAAAGCACUUUGAAAAGAGAGUUAAAAAGCACGUGAAAUUGUUGAAAGGGAAGCGCUUGCGAUCAGACUCGCUCGCGGGGUUCAGCCGGCCUUCGGGCCGGUGUACUUCCCCGCGGGCGGGCCAGCGUCGGUUUGGGCGGCCGGUCAAAGGCCCCUGGAA
rnacentral:rRNA from 1 species